CCAAACCGCAGAAGGCCCCAGGGCCCCGGUGCUUGUGCAACGCCUGGGAUUGUGCCGCCACCCCAGCGGGAGCACCUCUGGUCCUGAGCCUCGCACGCCCCACGCCGAACGUGCGAACUGGCACGUACCUGUGUGCAGGUACAGGGAGCAGCCGAAGCCAGCCACGAGGCAACCCACGGGUUCCUGGGAUGGGCAGCGAGAUGCUGCCUCCCGUCCCGCUUCAGAGGCCCGUGUCGUGGACCUUCAGAGGCCUUCUCUUUCAUAUAGAAGGUUUUUAAACAUGUCACUGAAAAAUCGGUGUAAUUUCGAAAUAUACUAGCCAAGAAACCUGGUCUCACAGCGUCCAGGGUGCCUGCAGAAUUAUAGAUGUCAGACCCCAGGAGCUGACAUGGUCGAGAAGCUUUACUGCAACUUUAGUCUUCUGCAGUGGGACGUUGCUGGAAGCUAACACCUCGUCCCAUUCUUUCAGCUUGCAUCUUAUAAAGGGUGUUCAUCUCUCAUAGUCUGGCAGAAAGCAGCCUGCGUGGGAUACUUGAAAUCUGAAAUGUAGUAAAAUAACAUUUGUUUGUUUAAACAGCACAGCUUACAAUGUUUUUGUAUACUGGUAACUUUGCCGUAUUUUGUAAAGUAAGUAUAUUUUCAUACACAGUAUUUAUGUUUUAAAAGUUCAUAGAGUUCUUUGUAAAGUAUUUCAAAAGUGCUCUUGAGAUUUUUUUUAUUAUUAUGCCACCUUUAAACAGGCAGUCAAGUGCUACUUUUCUAAUUGACUUAAGUUGGAAUGAAAGGUAUUGCUGCACAUAGUUGUAGCAACUAUCUAAGGCAGAACACCUUAGUAAUAGCUAUAUAUUUUAAAAUUAACUUAAUUAAAAGCCCUACUACUU